AGCAGCCGCGGUAAUUCCAGCUCCAAUAGCGUAUAUUAAAGUUGUUGCAGUUAAAAAGCUCGUAGUUGAAUUUCGGGGUCAGUAGUUUGGUCGUGCCAAUGGUAUGUACUGGGCUCACUGAUUCCUCCUUCCUGAUGAACUGUAAUGCCAUUAAUUUGGUGUUGCAGGGAAACUGGACUGUUACUUUGAAAAAUUAGAGUGUUUAAAGCAAGCUAAACGCUUGAAUACAUUAGCAUGGAAUAAUGAAAUAGGACGUUCGAUCCUAUUUCGUUGGUUUCUAGGAUUGACGUAAUGAUUAAUAGGGAUAGUUGGGGCAUUAGUAUUCAAUUGUCAGAGGUGAAAUUCUUGGAUUUAUUGAAGACUAACUACUGCGAAAGCAUUUGCCAAGGAUGUUUCAUUAAUCAAGAACGAAAGUUAGGGAAUACGAAGACGAUCAGAUACCGU
rnacentral:rRNA from 1 species